rnacentral:lncRNA from 1 species
CACUCUCAUCACAUACAAGGGACCUCAUGAGCAAAUUGAUCUAAAUAAAAAGAACCUAGAGGCUGAGCGCUGUGUUUGCAGAGGGAGGAAAAUUUAUUUGGCAUAAUGCCUGCUUGCUUUAUGGAUAUUUACUGGCCUCUAUUAGCACUGAAAUGGAGUGCUAGGGAUGAAGAUUUGAAGCAGUUUACUUAAUAGAUAUAACUAUCAGGGGAG